rnacentral:rRNA from 1 species
GUACUCGAGUGGCGAACGGGUGAGUAACACGUGGGUGAUCUGCCCUGCACUUCGGGAUAAGCCUGGGAAACUGGGUCUAAUACCGGAUAGGAGCCAUUUUUAGUGUGAUGGUUGGAAAGUUUUUUCGGUGUAGGAUGAGCUCGCGGCCUAUCAGCUUGUUGGUGGGGUAAUGGCCUACCAAGGCGGCGACGGGUAGCCGGCCUGAGAGGGUGGACGGCCACAUUGGGACUGAGAUACGGCCCAGACUCCUACGGGAGGCAGCAGUGGGGAAUAUUGCACAAUGGGCGCAAGCCUGAUGCAGCGACGCCGCGUGGGGGAUGACGGCCUUCGGGUUGUAAACUCCUUUCGCUAGGGACGAAGCUUUUUGUGACGGUACCUAGAUAAGAAGCACCGGCUAACUACGUGCCAGCAGCCGCGGUAAUACGUAGGGUGCGAGCGUUGUCCGGAAUUACUGGGCGUAAAGGGCUCGUAGGUGGUUUGUCGCGUCGUCUGUGAAAUUCCGGGGCUUAACUCCGGGCGUGCAGGCGAUACGGGCAUAACUUGAGUACUGUAGGGGUAACUGGAAUUCCUGGUGUAGCGGUGAAAUGCGCAGAUAUCAGGAGGAACACCGAUGGCGAAGGCAGGUUACUGGG